rnacentral:tRNA from 1 species
GCCUGGGUGGCUCAGUGGUUGAGCAUCUGCCUUCGACUCAGGUCAUAAUCCCAGAGUCCCGGGAUCGAGUCCCGCAUCGGGCU